rnacentral:rRNA from 1 species
CGACCUCAAAUCAGGUAGGACUACCCGCUGAACU